AUGAGCAUAGACAAAGAGAGGAAACGAGAGAGGAAGGAAGCCGCAUCACGGGGGCGGGCACAUCAAAGUUUUCCGCGGCGGAAGUCGUCGGCGACAAGAUGCUCGGCGCCCCUCCAGACUCCUCGCGCCCUGCUGAUGAGCUGCCGCGACAGGAGGAUUCGCCAGCAGUUGUGCUGCUGUGCAUCUGGAUGGGGAACUGGCGGGGUCUGCCGUGAGGUGGUGGGCGCCGGUGGUACUGCCCGACGAAAAGGGGGCAGGGGCAGCGCGGCUGUCUUCUCCAUCGUCCACCGGCGCUGCCCUGGUCAGUGUACGUCCUGGACUCACCAGAUCCGGACCCAGGCCCCAUUCUCAUGGUUGGAAUUUGCACCCCGGACGCAUUCUCAUUCACUCUUUUGA
rnacentral:rRNA from 1 species